UACGAAGGGUGCAAGCGUUACUCGGAAUUACUGGGCGUAAAGCGUGCGUAGGUGGUUCGUUAAGUCUGAUGUGAAAGCCCUGGGCCCAACCUGGGAAUGGCAUUGGAUACUGGCGACCUAGAGUGCGGUAGAGGGUGGCGGAAUUCCCGGUGUAGCAGUGAAAUGCGUAGAUAUCGGGAGGAACAUCCGUGGCGAAGGCGGCCACCUGGACCAGCACUGACACUGAGGCACGAAAGCGUGGGGAGCAAACAGG
rnacentral:rRNA from 1 species